rnacentral:rRNA from 1 species
AGAGUUUGAUCCUGGCUCAGGAUCAACGCUGGCGGCGUGCAUGAGACAUGCAAGUCGAACGGACAACUCGGGGCUUGCUCUGAGUUGUUAGUGGCGGACGGCUGAGUAACGCGUAGGUGACCUGCCCCGAAGUGGGGAAUAACUGCCCGAAAGGGUGGCUAAUACCGCAUGUGGUGAUGCGUUCGAUCGCAUCAGUAAAGCCGCAAGGCGCUACGGGAGGGGCCUGCGUCCGAUUAGCUCGUUGGUGGGGUAACGGCUCACCAAGGCGACGAUCGGUAGGUGGUCUGAGAGGACGAUCACCCAGACUGGGACUGAGACACGGCCCAGACUCCUACGGGAGGCAGCAGUCGGGAAUUUUGCGCAAUGGACGAAAGUCUGACGCAGCAACGCCGCGUGAGGGAUGACGGCCUUCGGGUUGUAAACCUCUUUUGUCAGGGACGAUGAUGACGGUACCUGACGAAUAAGCCACGGCUAACUACGUGCCAGCCGCCGCGGUAAUAC